UGGGGAAUAUUGCGCAAUGGGCGAAAGCCUGACGCAGCAACGCCGCGUGGGGGAUGAAGGCUUUCGGGUUGUAAACCCCUUUCGGCAGGGACGAAAAUGACGGUACCUGCAGAAGAAGCCCCGGCCAACUACGUGCCAGCAGCCGCGGUAACACGUAGGGGGCGAGCGUUGUCCGGAUUUAUUGGGCGUAAAGGGCUCGUAGGCGGUUGCGUAAGUCGGAUGUGAAAACUCAGGGCUCAACCCGGAGAUGGCAUUCGAUACUGCGCUGACUAGAGUCCGGUAGAGGAGCAUGGAAUUCUUGGUGUAGCGGUGGAAUGCGCAGAUAUCAGGAGGAAGGCCUGCGGCGAAGGCGGUGCUCUGGGCCGGUACUGACGCUGAGGAGCGAAAGCGUGGGUAGCGAACAGG
rnacentral:rRNA from 1 species